rnacentral:rRNA from 1 species
AUUGAACGCUGGCGGCAUGCUUUACACAUGCAAGUCGAACGGUAACAGGCCGCAAGGUGCUGACGAGUGGCGAACGGGUGAGUAAUGCAUCGGAACGUGCCCAGUCGUGGGGGAUAACGCAGCGAAAGCUGUGCUAAUACCGCAUACGAUCUAUGGAUGAAAGCGGGGGACCGUAAGGCCCCGCGCGAUUGGAGCGGCCGAUGUCAGAUUAGGUAGUUGGUGGGGUAAAGGCCUACCAAGCAGACGAUCUGUAGCUGGUCUGAGAGGACGACCAGCCACACUGGGACUGAGACACGGCCCAGACGCCUACGGGGGGCAGCAGUGGGGAAUUUUGGACAAUGGGCGCAAGCCUGAUCCAGCAAUGCCGCGUGCAGGAAGAAGGCCUUCGGGUUGUAAACUGCUUUUGUACGGAACGAAACGGUCUGGGUUAAUACCCUGGGCUAAUGACGGUACCGUAAGAAUAAGCACCGGCUAACUACGUGCCAGCCGCCGCGGUAACAC